rnacentral:rRNA from 1 species
UACAGAGGGUGCAAGCGUUGCUCGGAAUCAUUGGGCGUAAAGGGCAAGUAGGUGGUCUCAUUUGUCUGAUGUGAAAGCCUUGAGCUUAACUCAAGAAGUGCGUCAGAAACGGUGAGACUCGAGUUCUGGAGAGGGUCGUGGAAUUCCCGGUGUAGCGGUGAAAUGCGUAGAUAUCGGGAGGAACAUCAGUGGCGAAAGCGCUCUGCUGGACUGCAACUGACACUGAGGGACGAAAGCUAGGGGAGCGAAAGGG